rnacentral:rRNA from 1 species
UACGCAGGGCGCUAGCGUUGCUCGGAAUUACUGGGCGUAAAGGGCGCGUAGGCGGCCAUAUCAGUCAGGUGUGAAACCCCUGGGCUCAACCUAGGAACUGCACUUGAGACGGUAUGGCUUGAGGUCGAGAGAGGAUGGUGGAACUCCCAAGGGAGAGGUGAAAUUCGUAGAUAUUGGGAAGAACACCGGUGGCGAAGGCGGCCAUCUUGCUCGAUCCUGACGCUGCGUCGCGGCAGCGUUGGGAGCAAACCGG